GUGUGAGCUGCUCGGUGGGAAAAAGACAAGAUCGUAAGAGAUGAUGGAUCUAACCCAUUUCAGCUGCAAGAUCUUCCAUUGGCAAUCCACCUUCAGGAAGACAUUAAUCUUUCUCCGCACUGCGACUAUAAAUAGACUGCUAUGUUAUUGUUGUAGACACACUGUGAAGUGAAUUUAAAGUGGAUGUGCCCGUGCUAGGCAUCAUGCCAUGGCGCAGCUCUGAUGAAAACCUGAUUGAGUCUAACUCAAGAACAAACAGCAGGCUUGGACAUAGCAAUCUGACCGUUUGGUCGCAGACGGGGAGACGGACGUGAUGAUGGUCGGCUGCACCAUCCACUGCAAAUCUGGACUGGUGGAGAUCGCAGUUACUGUGGGGACAAACGGAGCCGCGGGCGCCUCAAGAUCCGACCCUGGGCCCUGCAUUCAGUCGCUGACGCAGAGCUGCUGCGGAGUCUCCACACAGAGAACCGCUGCAGAGCCACUUCAACACUGAAGCACGACAAAAAAACCAUUUAAACCCAUUUCUGACAUAAUAUCAACAAGAUGCAUUCUUAUUAUAACCUAAACAACGCCGAAUAGGAUGUUCAUUGAUCCCCAAAUUGGGUGAUGAUCAGGGUAAAAAAAAUGAUUUUGAAUUAAUCAUAAUUUGAUAUUAAAAAAAAUAUCCCCCAAAUAUAUGUGCUGUCCUGAAGAUCUGAUCCUUUUCAUGAAGAACUACCAGACAGGCUUGUCAUUACCCUCAUUGCCUAUCAGGAUUGAAGCAGCCUACACCAUGAUUAUACUGUGUUGAUGCUUAAUGCUCAGGGAUGUUGCCUACCUGUGUGGUCUCCAUCAGCUCCCCGGCAGGAGAUGCAGAGCUGCAGCGUGACACAGACUCCACACCGGCUUUGCUAAGGAUCAUUUCUCCACGUAGGCACGUUUCCAGAAGAAAGAAAGGGAAAAAUAGGAUCCAGGGAUCCGAUCUGUCAAGCCUCGCUUCCCUGAUUCUAGUCGCCCUUUUCCAGGUUUAUAUAUAAACCUGGUCACUGAUAACCCUGCUCUACAAGCCCCGCCCUCCUAUAUAUUCCCUCAGAAUUUUAUGAAUGAACCGAGGAUGUACCAUUUUGGGCUGCGGGGAGCAUCUUUUUUUUUCUCAAUAUAACAACGCACCUGCAUCGACCAACCUAUACACACUCAUACUACAUUUAAUACCUAAGAUGAUUUGAAAACAAAAAUAUAUUAUUAAAAUAUUAUAAUUCUUUCUGCAUUUUGCUGUGUAUUUCCCGGACUGUAUUGGACCCUCCUGAAAGAGAACAUGUGCAACAUGUUCAUUCAUAAAAUACUGAUGCGCCCCAAGUGCUCUAAAAGCCAACGCAUAAUAUACAAUGUGAAUGAACUAUGAAAAAUGGUAUAAUAUGUAUUUAAUUAGUUAAGUUAGUUUUCUUAGUGGCUGAUACGAGCAUAUUUGCUCAAGUUAUUAGGUCAUUUCAUUGUAAAUGAAUCUUGAAUGAGAAAUUCGGAUGUGUACCUUGUAAACAAUAAUACUGUAAUCUCUUAAAGCAUUUAUACAUAUAAACUUGAGUACUACGUAUAUUUAAAUGUGUGCAAACAGUAUUAGGAAGCUUCCUUGCUGCACUGCAUCUAAUUGCAAUUCAGCUCUAGCCUCAUAAGCCAGUGGGAUGCCAGGCUUCUUAGUUUAAAGUAGAAAUUUUUUAGAUUUGGCAGGUAGAAUAACCGUGAAAUAAAAAUUAAAAUUAGAAAUAACAUUUUUGCACGUGUAUUGGAGGUGGAAGUUUUUCUUUAUCGUCGCUUUCUUUAUAGUUAAUUCGAAUGCACGGAGAAGUGCUGAAAGAAUCCAAUCUGGCAACCCGGACUCAUCUUGUCGAUCGUUUCUGUUGCGCCCACGUCCUGUAGUGACGCGAUAGCGGCGAACGGGAAGUUGACCAUAUAAGGACAGUGACGUACUGGGAUUCCAUUUUUGAUUCCCUAAUAAAAGUUUAUACACAAGGAUGUUCCUGCAUGUUACUGAGGGGCAAACGUGGGAUAGCUAUGACAUUGCUAUUUUAUUUUCCAAAGCACAUUAUGUAGUAGAAGAUGUAAUACGCAAUUAGAAAUAGUUUUUUCACUAAUAUAAUAUAAUACAAUAUGAUUUUUGAGGACUUGACAUCUGUAGCUACAGUCAGUCUUCUAUAUUCAUGCAGAGGUGGCACAAAGUGGCAUUUAAACCACUUUAAAUAGACCAUGUCACCCCACUGCCAUCAGUUCUGAUGUCAAAUAAUAUAUUUUUUUAAAUACUUCACUCACAGAAAAAAAAAAAAACUGUACAUUUUAUUAAAGAGCUGUAGCCUCUCAAAGAAACAUUCAAAACAACAGUAGGUCCAUGGUAGCAUUAGGAGCCACAUUUGUAUAGUGAAGUAAUGGAGUAAUACUUUAAAUGUAUACUUAUUGCACUUUUCAAGGUGAAAGUUAAACACUUAACCCUUAGUGAUAUAAUGGAAAGGUAUAGUUUUAUACCCAAAAGUUAUUACAAUUCAGCAAAACGUAAUACAUAACAUCUAGUGAAUCAUGAAUCAAUUGAUCAAAGUCAUGUAUUACAUAUUUUAUAAUUUCAGUAUCAAGAACUUCACAGCAACUAAAAAGCAAAUAUUGCAAUGUUUUUGUGUGAUCAUUUAUUUUUCACUACGUCUAAUAACGCCUGGUUUCCACCCAUUCAUGUGCCCUUGACUUGAAAAUGUUACCACACCACUGGUACUGAGAAGUCAAAUUAGUAGCUACAGCAUACCCACUGUGAUCUCAGCUGUUCACCUUGAUGUUAAACCAAAUGUGUCACCUGGAACCAUUUCUUUAAUUUGGAAAAGAAAGCUGGAGAUGUGACAUAUUAUGUGCACCCCAAUUAGUAGACAGUCUUUUUUUUACAUAAUCAUUCGUACAUACAGCCUUCUACCAAAAA